rnacentral:rRNA from 1 species
AGCCAUGCAUGUCUAAGUACAACUCUUGUAAAGUGAAACCGCGAAUGGSUCAUUAAAUCAGUUAUGAUUCCUUAKAUCGUUYYUAUUACCUGGAUAACUGUGGUAAUUCUAGAGCUAAUACAUGCAAAAAGCUCCSACCGUAUGGGAAGAGCGCUUUUAUUARACCAAAACCAAUGGGGUCGAAAGACUCCUUUGUUUGGUGACUCUGGAUAACUUUGUGCUGAUCGCAUGGCCUUGAGCCGGCGACGUAUCUUUCAAAUGUCUGACCUAUCAACUUUCGAUGGUAAGCGAUUUGCCUACCAUGGUUGUAACGGGUAACGGGGAAUCAGGGUUCGAUUCCGGARAGGGAGCAUGAGAAAUGGCUACCACAUCUACGGAAGGCAGCAGGCGCGCAAAUUACCCACUCCUAGAACGGGGAGGUAGUGACGAAAAAUAACAAUACCGGACUCUACGAGGCUCGGUAAUUGAAAUGAGUACAGUUUAAAACCUUUAACGAGGAUCCAUUGGAGGGCAAGUCUGGU